CCCACCCAUCCAUCCAUCCACCCACCCAUUCAUCCAUUCCUUCAUCCAUCCAUCCGUCUGUCUGUCCACCCACCCACCCAUCCACUCACCCAUCCAUCCAUCCAUCCACCCAUCCACCCAUCCAUCCAUCCGUCCAUCUGUUGUCUGAGUUGCAUCUGAGCUGCUCAUCGAUAGCCUUGUCCUGGCUAACAUGCCCCACAGGUGGGAGGCAGAAACCCCGAGUGUUAUAGUCCUGCUUGGGCAAGACCUGCACGUGUUCACCAGAUGUUCAGUCACACAGAUUUGAACUGUGAUAAGAACCUUCCAAGAAAUCUGCUGACCUCUGGGCUAUACCCACCUCGUUUCCUGGUCCUCUGUCACCUCUGCUGCCCUGUGGGUGGGGAGGAGACAGGGUGUUAUUUGUCGGUCGGUGACCCUGGGCAAUUCUCAUUUAUUUGUUGGGGCCAGAACCAUUCCCAGGAUGGCACCACCAUUUCACGCUUUCAGGCAGAAGCAGGAGUCAGUCUGCACCUGCUGGGUAAGGGACACACCCAAACUGACACAAAUCAGGGGCGGCUGUCCAGGUGUCACAGAGCCUGGGAAGGCACUGGUCACACCCUGUUUUCCCACAGUGUCCCCUGGGGUCCUGUCUCAGCCUGCUGUCCUGUGCAUGCGCACCUGUCCUCUUCUUCCACAGUCUCUGGUUUUUCUUCAGACCUGGGCAGGAGGAACUCGGGCUGCGGUGGCCGAGCGCUGUGAACAGAAAGAGUGAAAUAACAAUGGGAGGCAGAUGGGUGGCAGUGGAGGUUGGGGCUCUAGGAGUAAACUGGCCUUGCCAGCCUGGGCUCAUGUUAGAAUUUUGUUCCUCCUGGUAUGUUGGAAGGAACCGAUGAUCCAGCAUGGGGCAAAUGUGACCCAUAAUGCAAGGAGUGAGGAAAUAUGUAGCCCAGGCUAGCCUGGAACUCACUAUGUAGUAGAGGAUGACCAUAGACUCCUGGUCCUCCUGCCUCCUCACCCCAAGUGCUGUCACAUCAGUUUAUGUGGCUCUGGGGACAAGGCUCAGCAAGGCCAGCACUCUGCCAAUUGAGCUGAGCACCAGCUGCUGCCCUCCCCGGUCCAGACUUGGACGAUGUGGGCAGCAGGAGGCGACCUUGCUGAUCACAGCAUCUGCCGCCCAGCACUGUGGAGACUGAGGCCUGGAUUGGGAGACCAGCCUGGGCUGCCAAAGGAGACCUUGUCUCAAAAGGAAAAACAAAGUUAAAAUGGAAUAUCCUCAAGUGGGUCACCGCGCUCAGGGAGAGACCACAUCUGCAGCUGGGACAGCACGGGGACCUGCUGGACUCUACCCACUGCUACAAUGCCUCCCCCAUGAGAUCACUAGGCUCUUACCCAGCAUGAAGAGGAAUACAGUUCUGACACCAUGCCAGCAGUUUAAAUUGGACAAGAGGCGCAGAGAUGGGGGCAGGGAAUGAAUGGACACCCCGUCCCCUUGUCCCCAUCCAGGAGGAGGGGCUUCGUGUGGGAUGGGAAGUUCCAAAGUGGGGAUCAGAGGCAGCACAGCCCAGUGACUGCUCUGCUGUACACUGGUGACAGGCCAGUGAGAGAAACAACAAAGAUGAACACACAAGGGCCUCACACCUAGUUCUCAAGGUCUGGCAGUUGUGUGGUAUGUGACUGUGUGUGGCCAAGCCAGUGGGUCCUUAGGGGACUCCCAUGCCUGAGACCCAGGGCACAGCCAACGUUAUUUGUAUGAAUACGAAUUUUGGGGUCACCCUGUUUGUGCUCUGAGUUGAGUAAGGCUUUCAACAUAAAUGAGGGAAGUGGGGCCCAGCGACAUGGUUUAGAAGGUAAGGGGGCUUGCAGCCAAGUCUUAAUGACCCAAGUUCAAUUCCCAUUGGAUGGAAAGAGAACUGACUCCGCUCAAGUGAUCUCCGCACGAGUGCCAUGGCUUGCACACCCACAUCCACAACAGAGAAAUAGUAGCUAACAGUCUUCUUUGUUUCUGUCUUUCUUUUGCUCAUUUUUAACUACCCUCCGUUAAAAGUGCUGAAGACAGAGUUCAGGGAUAACUACUGGUCAGAAAAUGUUUCUUCAAGCAAGCCCUGUUCCCGUUACGAAUACAAGGUUGCCAGAGUCGUGUAGCUCAUCUGGUCUUGCUAAUGCACGUGUAUCUCAAGGACUUCCGGAGACCUGGUGUGAGAGCCCAGACCUUUUGUGUGUAUAAGGGUGCAUAUGUGAAGGUCAUAGGACGACUUGCAUGGCAGUCAUGUUUCCUUCCACCAUACGGGUCCUAGAGAGCAAAUUCAGGUUGUCAGGCCCGGGAGCAGCCCCAGUGCAGGCUGAGCUAUCUCACUGGCCCAGUCCACCUCUUUUAGAUGGGAUAGCUCACUGAACCCCAAGCUUGCUGCUUCAGAUAGACUGGUUGACCUGUGAGUCCCAAAAAUCGGUCUCUGGCUCCCUCGUUUUUUUACAGAUUGACACAGCUUUGCCAGACAUGUUACAUGGAUGCCGGGAAUCUGAGCUCAGGUCUUCACACUAGCCUGCCAGCACUACCCAUCCCCCCUUAGCUGUCUCUACGUCUUUUUUUUUUUUUUUUUUUUGGUUCUUUUUUCCGAAGCUGAGGACUGAACCCAGGGCCUUGCGCUUCCUAGGUAAGCGCUCUACCACUGAGCUAAAUCCCCAGCCCCCUGUCUCUACGUCUAAAGGUGGAGUCGAGCAGUGAGUCGCCAGCGACAGAAGCCACCAAGCCAGCACUCAGAUCCCCGGCCCUGUCAGGAGGCUGUGCACACUGACCUCUCCCUCUUGGCUCGGAGUCUCUGUUCUUCAUAUCUGAGGGAAAGAAACACAGUGCUAAGUAACCCCCAAACUCGGGGACCCUAGAGGCCAGAAGGACACUCACUGCAGGACACAGGCUGGCAGCUGCACGUGCUCCAUGGGGAUGAGCUGCUCCAGCUCCUCGAGGCUGUGCACAUACUGGAUUUUACUGAUGAACUUGACACUGAUGGAUGGGAAUGAGAGUGCAAACAAGGGGUCACCAGACAAAGCCAGGCCAUGCCACACCCAGCCCGCCAAGUUGCCCAUGCUGGCCUCGAACCCACAACCCUCUUGCCUCAGUCUCCUCCCCAGACUUUUCCCAUGGAUUGUUCCAGUGGUCGGUGUGGACUGUGAUGAAUGACAAACACUUCAGAUGUGUUUUUUUUUAAAGAAACAUUUACUUACCAUGUGUGCACAAAUAAAAGUCAAGAGGACAGCUUGAGGGAGUCGACUCCCUCAGUCUAACAUUCGGUCUCAGGUAUUGAACUCAGGCUGUCAGGCUUGGCAGCAAGCUCCUCUACCCACAGAGUCAUCCUGACAGCCCUUUGGAUGAAUCCUUAUUUUAAAGAAAGAAAAUUCUCCCCCUAGCCUGGUGGUACAUGCUGGCAAUCCUGGCACUCAAAGAACUGAGGCAGGAGGAUUGCCAUUUUAACACUGACCUAUCCUAACCCAGUUUUAAAAGCAACGAGGGUCAGAACAGAUGACUCGGUUGUGCAAGCACCAAGACAAGUUCAAAUCUACAGGAGAUGCAUAAGACACCAGAUGGGGUUACAGCUAUAACCCCAGAGCUGGAGAGACUGAGAUAGGAGGAUCACUGUGUCUCCAACUGCAGGCCUGGCCAGUUCCAUGAAUCUCAGGCUAUGAAGACAAAGUGGUGGGUGGAAAUCCACUGACCCUCAGACAUGCACCCAGGGCACAGCGGCCAGACCGGAGUCCUAACUAGGACAGUCACCAUGUCCUACCUGAUGAAGGGCCGGGAGAUGGCCAGCACGGUGCGAAUGAACCAGGAGGGGUGGACGAUGAUCAGGGACUUUAGAUUCUUCCUCAGUCUGUGGGGAGAGGAAAAAGGAAGCCAUUUUCACAGGUUUGGGGUGUGGGAGCCUGAUGGAGACAAGGUAGACCAGUUGCCUCCUUCUCUCCGUAGCCUGUCAUCCCAAGACCGCUUAAUAGGCUGCACCCUCACACUGCAGAGCGGGCCUUCCAGCUGAACAGAUUUAGAAACCUUGGGAUGUGUCAACACCAGACAGCAGGAGGGCCACACUGUACAGUCCUGAAUUCUAGGAAGUGCUUUCGGAUUUUAAAAAUCUGUUGGGGGGUUGGGGAUUUAGCUCAGUGGUAGAGUGCUUGCCUAGCAAGCACAGGGCCCUGGGUUCGGUCCCCAGCUCUGAAAAAAAGAAAAAAGAAAAAAAAAUCUGUUGGAAGCUAUUCAGGAAACUCAAAAGCGAAAAGAGCCCAGAACUCACUCACUCACAGACAGACAGACAGACAGACAGACAGAUAGACAGACAGAAAUAAUACAACUUGAUCACUGGCUGGAAUAUUAUUCAGCCAUGAAAAGGGAAAGGCCUUCCUCCUGUUGCCUCUCUAGAGAGGUUGACACUUGAGGACUCAAUUCUCUGAGACACAGAUCAGACACAGAAGGCCACACACUAUCCAGUGGUCCCUAGAGUCAUCAGCCACCAACAGCUACUGGCAGGACUCCUUCAAAGUUUUCUCCACCUUGGCCUUGGGCUUCUGCUCCCUGGACUGAUUAAGAACGCUGUUGCUGGUUAAACUUCCUGCCUCAGUGCCCCGCCCCACUCCACCCCACCCCAGAAUUCUCACCUCCUGUCAAUCAUGUGGUAACACUUCUUCAGCCAGCCAAUGCCCGGCAUCCUCCUCCGGGGCGUGGCACCAUUCAGGUACACGAUCAUGUAGUCCUCAGCCACUAGCAGCUCUAGGCUGCUGAUGACGUACCUGCCCACGGAGUUGAAAAUGGUGUUGCAUGUGGGGACACCGAGGGUUAGGACCUGUGUGGGACCCCAGUGUUAUCUCUGUGCUCAGUAUUCCCAUCUGCCUUAGAGUCUUGCUUUGUAGACCAGGCUAGCCUGAAACUCACAGAGUUCCAACUACCUUCUGCCUCCCCUUUGGGUUGGGGGCACCAACUUACAGGAAGAGAUUCUCCAUGAUGUAGUGGUAGUCUGGAGAGCUGCUAUCUGGCAGGAAGCAGGCCGCAAAGACGAUGAUGGCGUUGAGACCUUCUCCGUAGUAUCCUGGGAAGAGGCGUCCUGGUGAGUGCCACAGUAGCCCAGGCUAGAUCGUGUCCCCCCACUCCCUGAGCAGUGCCAGCUGGUAGGGGGAAUGGUGCCCACCACCGUAAGCACCCCAGUGUGUGGUCAGUCAUCUGUGGAACCUGAAACUUGAGAGGGCUCAAUGUUUCCACCCGUUAGGUGAGCCCGAGGUCCACAGACCUCUGAUGGAAACCGAGUCACUGUGUGCUCCCAGGUGACAUGGGAGGAGAGGGUCCCGGGGCCAGCGCACCUCCGUGGGUCACCACCUUCAUGUAGGGCCGGAUCAUAUGCAGGUCAAUGCGAUGCUCCUGCUCCCCGAUGAUGACAGUCCGCCACAGACGGCCAUUGGCUGCACUGCCGUCUUCCCCAGAGCCGUCCCCAAACAGGUCUGCGCUGUCACCAGGCAUGUUUUUAGCGGUGGCCACUGGGGUGUCAUCUGCCAGAGGGUCAGGGGGAAUGUGAAUCCAUGUGUCUUGUCCCAGCAUGCCUUCCCUGCAGACAUGUAUGCACACACGCACACAGAGACAGACAGACACACACGCACACACACAGACAGGCAGACAGACCGACACGCACAUACACGCACACAUACACACGCACAGACAGGCAGACAGACACACACAAGCACACAUGCACAGACAGACAGACAGACAGACCGACAGACACACACGCAUGCACGCACACCCACACAGACAGGCAGACAGACACACACAAGCACACAGACAGGCAGACAGACCGACACGCACAUACACGCACACAGAGACAGACAGACAGACACACACGCACACACAGACAGGCAGACAGACCGACACGCACAUACACGCACACAGAGACAGACAGACAGACACACACGCACACACACAGACAGGCAGACAGACCGACACACACACACACA